UACGUAGGGUGCAAGCGUUGUCCGGAAUUAUUGGGCGUAAAGAGCUCGUAGGCGGUCUGUCGCGUCUGCUGUGAAAAUCAGGGCUCAACCCUGGACCUGCAGUGGGUACGGGCAGACUAGAGUGCGGUAGGGGAGAUCGGAAUUCCUGGUGUAGCGGUGAAAUGCGCAGAUAUCAGGAGGAACACCGGUGGCGAAGGCGGAUCUCUGGGCCGUAACUGACG
rnacentral:rRNA from 1 species